GCGAGAAAGGUACCCGGGAGGGGUGGUUGGGCCAGGCAGGUGGUCUGUCCUUUGCUUGCUUGGUUUGUAAUUUCUGAGUGAAGGAAACCUCAGUGUGGUUGGACAGAUGUGUUAAAAAUUGCAUUACAAAUGUAAUAAAAAUUGUUCUUCAGAAUGUUAAUUGGCACGGGGGAUAGGCUGUGAUGAGAUCUGUCCUAGCUGAUAAUUGCAUGAAAAGCCUGCAGGAUUUAGGCUUGAGUAGAUACACAUGGAUUUUAAUGUGACACGAGGCUUUUUUUUUUUUUUUUUUUCCUCUUGUAGACCAUAGGGAACUCCUGCAAAUAGCAAAAGCCAAUGCUGCAAUAAAAAUUGUUCUUCAGAAUGUUAAUUGGCACAGGAGACAGGCUGUGAUGAGAUCCGUCCUAGCUGAUGAUUGAAUGGAUGUAAAAUGUGCAGCAUUUAGGUUUGAGGUACACGUGGAUUUUAAUGUGACACAAAGCACUUUUUUAAUUCCUUUCUCUUGUAGACAAGAGGGAACUCCUGGAAAUUGCGAAAGCCAAUGCAGCCAAAGCUCUGGGAACAGACAACAUUGUCCUGCCAGCCAGCCUGAGGAUCUCUGCCCCUGCCAAGGAGAUCAAAACCGAGAAGCAGGAGCGUGAGGAGGCCACGGAGUCAGCUGAGCAACCUGGGAGUGCAGCUGAGGACGAGAGCAAGGCUGGCAUGGAGAGAGCAACCAUCCAGAGGAGCAUUUCCUUCAGCCCUAAUAACACAAUGGCCAAGCCUGCCCUGCAGAAGCCAGUGAGCCACCCUGUGGUUAAGGAGCCAGUGGUUUCUCCAGCCAGGGAGGAUGACAGGAAGGGAAGCCCCUAUGGGCAGUGGGUUCCUGUCAAGAAGGAGGAGAAGAAAACAUUCCUGAACUUCUCACCCAAAAGCUCCCUGUUCCGGGCACGCUGAGGGGAGCCCCUGGCACUGCAGCACCCUCAGCACAGAGGGACACUCAGGAGGGCUUGAAGACUUGUUAAUACUGAGUAUUUAUUUUGAGGUCUUAAUUUUUGGAAUCUUAGGUUUCUCUUUCAGAUAGAGAGCACACAGAUCCAGAAGCCAAGAUGGGAAUCUUGUGUAUAUUUGUAAAUAUUUUAUAUUGCUUUAUUGGACUAGAACUUGCAGGUGGGUAACUUUUUCUAAACCAUAGUUGAGUAGCUGUUCUUUGCACACCUGGAUUUCCCUUGUGUAACUGUUUACUUCAAGUGAAUAAAGUUUAGUUUUGCACUGGCUGUGUCGGGUGU
rnacentral:lncRNA from 1 species